CUUCUUUACAAUAUGCUGUUUCAUCAGCAAGGUCUUUGUGCUCUGUACCGUGUGCGGACCUCCUAACUCAUCUGCAACUAAGAAUACCUUAACCUCCUGGGAACGCAGCUGGCUUCAGCCCUAUUUUACCCAUCCCCUAUUCAAGAUAGAGUAGCUUUGGUUUGAUCGCCUCUGACAGCAUGAUUUUGGCUCAUUGCAGCUUUGACUUCUCCCCGGCUCAAGUGAUCCUCCUGCCUCAGCCCCCCAAGCAGUUGGGACAAUAGGCACAUGCCACCACACCCAGCUAAUUUUUGUAUUCUUCUUGUGUGUAGAGAUGGGGUUUGCCACAUUGCCCAGGCUGGUCUUGAACUCCUGGGCACAAGCUAUCUGCCUGCCUCGGCCUCCCAAAGUGCUGGAUUACUCGUGUCAGUCACAGUGCCCUGCCCAACAACUUUUAAUUAUCUCUCAUGCUUCUCUAUCAAUUAGGUCCUCAGCUGAGUCGUUCUGCUAUAUUGCAUCAGAUGUCAGCUGGUUCUGCAGUCAUCUGGAGGCUCUGCUGGUAGAACUCCCAGCACACUUCACUCAAAUGGCUGGCUGCAGCUGGUGCUAGUUAUGGUCUGGGAUCUCAGAUGAGGCUGCUAAGCCGAAUGUGUUGUUACUCCUUUACAUCGUCUCUCCACAUGGCUUGAACUUCUCACAGCAUGCCUGCUGGAUUCGAAGAGAUGGCAUUCAAGUGCUUAAAAAUAUGGAGUUCUGCUCUUGCUGCUCAGUCGGGAGUGCAAAGGCACAAUCUUGGCUCACUGCAACCUCUGACUCCUGGGUUUAAGCAAUUCUCCUGCCUCAGCCUCCAGAGUAGUGGGGAUUACAGGCACGUGCCACCACGGUUGGCUAAUCUUUGUAUUUUUAGUAGAGACGGGGUUUUACCAUGUUGGUCAGGCUGGUCCCAAACUCCUGACCUUAAGUGAUCAUCCACCUCUGCCUCCCAAAGUGCUGGGAUUAUGGGCGUGAGCCACCGCGCCUGGCCUCACUAGCAAUAUCUUUAAUGACGCCUUGGUAUACUAGGUAACUACAUAAAUUAUUAAAACACAGCCAUAGGAAAAUGUGUCUGUCUUCAUCCAGAUUCAUCUCUAAAUGUAUGAAUGUUUGAGAUAGCACUAUUGAUGUAUUGUAGUAUUUUCUUUGGGGCUAUCUGAGUAAAGUGAA
rnacentral:lncRNA from 1 species